rnacentral:lncRNA from 1 species
AAUAACUCAUUGAGUGUUGAGUAAAAUUAAAAGAUGGGCAAGAAUAAAUCCUUCAUUUUCAUCUCAUAUGGGAAGAUUUAUGAAGGCCUCUGAGAAGAAGCAUCUGUCUGCUAGUUGUAAAUUGAGAGUAUUAAGGGAAAACAUUGGAAUAUUUUGGUUACAUUAGUGAGAGGAAUGUAUUAACUCAAAUGCUUUUGAGAUCUUUCCCUUUGGGGCCAAAGAUUACUCUUGAUGAAGAACAUGUGAACUUUUAGAAUUCAUCUCCUGCUUGGGAACAAAGACCAUAGCACAAACAAUGUUAAAUGGUUGGUGUUUUGGGGAGUGGUUUCUAAGAAACACAAUUAUGUGUGGGAUGUUGGUGGCUUUUUUUUUCAUAUGGAUAUGGUUUUCUCUAUGCUUGUGAGUUUUCUCUUUCAAGUCCAUAGGGGCUGCAAAUCAGAGGACUUGGAAAAGGGCUGGGGAAUGUAACUAACCAAUAUGUUACUUUCUUAGCC